UACGUAGGGUGCGAGCGUUAAUCGGAAUUACUGGGCGUAAAAGUGUGCGCAGGCGGCUUUCGCAAGUCGAGUGUGAAAUCCCCCGAGCUUAACUUGGGAAUUGCGCUCGAAACUACGGGAGCUGGAGUGUGGCAGAGGAAAGGUGGAAUUCCACGUGUAGCGGUGAAAAUGCGUAGAGAUGUGGAGGAACACCGAUGGCGAAGGCAGCCUUCUGGGCCAACACUGACGCUCGAUGCACGAAAGCGUGGGGAGCAAACAGG
rnacentral:rRNA from 1 species